rnacentral:rRNA from 1 species
AUACGUAGGUCCCGAGCGUUGUCCGGAUUUAUUGGGCGUAAAGCGAGCGCAGGUGGUUUAUUAAGUCUGGUGUAAAAGGCAGUGGCUCAACCAUUGUGUGCAUUGGAAACUGGUAGACUUGAGUGCAGGAGAGGAGAGUGGAAUUCCAUGUGUAGCGGUGAAAUGCGUAGAUAUAUGGAGGAACACCGGUGGCGAAAGCGGCUCUCUGGCCUGUAACUGACACUGAGGCUCGAAAGCGUGGGGAGCAAACAGGAUUAGAUACCCUGGUAGUCCACGCCGUAAACGAUGAGUGCUAGAUGUGGGAAGCUAUAAGUUUUCCGUAUCGCAGCUAACGCAAUAAGCACUCCGCCUGGGGAGUACGACCGCAAGGUUGAA